UUAAAACCCAAUUCUGCACACUAGGUAUCAAAUCACUUGCAGAUAUCCUCUGUAUCAUGCGGAGCUUCAACAUCCACCUGGAAAUUACAUGAAGGAAUGAGUCUGAAUAUUGCUUGCUUCAAGUCCACACCACAUUCUCACCCUUUUAUCUUCCAUUACUUUGUCUUUUCCUUAAGAAUAACUUCAUGAAAACUAGGAAGAAUUUUCCAAAUGUGCAUUUUCAUUUCUUCCUCUUUCCUCUGUCCCCUAGAACUUCAUUCUUUUUAUGUUCAGAGACAAUCCAUAUUGAAAGGAAUGGGAGGAAAGAAAUGUCUGUCAGCACUUUCAGAAGGGGAACUGGCCUCUCUAGUAUUGGAAGUAACAUAAGGAGAAGCAGGACACAACAAUGCUGUAUAGAAGAUACCAUGGAUUUGCCAUAAUUUUCUGUUUUGGCCAUCAUAAUGAUGAACCUCAAGGACCAUUCAUAUGGGUCAUUUCACCUGUACAACAGUUUCCAGGCCAUUAAAGGGUAAGAUUUUACACCCAAACUUUACUUCCACAAAGGAAACAAAAAUGUCUGCUUGCUUAAGUUAAAAUUCAGAAAGUCCCCUAUUUCUCCAUACACUAAAAAAGCCCACAAAAACACCAUGUACUUUUAUUCAAAUCACUUAUUUUAGAUGAAAGCAAGUAUGUGAGAAAGAACAAGUGUCAAAAGUGUAAAAGUCAGCUCAUUUCACACAUUUCUUUUGGGAUAGUCUAUCUUAGCUCUACAUUACAGCAUGACAAACUUAAUACAGAUGCCAUACUUAAUUAGAAGGCUUGAUGUAGACAAAAAAAAGAUGACCAACAAUGAACAGAGCCCCACUGUGAAAGGACACACUGCAGGAGAUAAGACACCUUGUCUCUUCUGUUUCUAACAAAAAGAAGCAAAUUUUGUCAAAAAAUAACCUGUCUGUAGCAAAGAUUUCUACCCAGAUGUUGU
rnacentral:lncRNA from 1 species